rnacentral:rRNA from 1 species
UAAUACCAACUCCCUGAGUGGUGGGGAUGAUUAUUGGGCCUAAAGCGUUCGUAGCCGGUCUGAUUAGUUCCUCGUUAAAUCCAGCGACCUAAUCGUUGAACUGCGGGGAACACGGUCAGACUUGGGAGCGGGAGAGGUUAGCGGUAUUUCCGGGGUAGGGGUGAAAUCCUAUAAUCCCGGGGGGACCACCAGUGGCGAAGGCGGCUAACCAAAACGCGUCCGACGGUGAGGGACGAAAGCUGGGGGAGCGAACCGGAUUAGAUACCCGGGUAGUCCCAGCUGUAAACGAUGCGGGCUAGCUGUUGAGGUGGCCACGAGUCACUUCAGUGGCGUAGGGAAGCCGUUAAGCCCGCCGCCUGGGGAGUACGAUCGCAAGAUUG